AUUGAACGCUGGGGGCAUGCUUUACACAUGCAAGACGAACGGUAACAGGCCGCAAGGUGCUGACGAGUGGCGAACGGGUGAGUAAUGCAUCGGAACGUGCCCAGUCGUGGGGGAUAACGCAGCGAAAGCUGCGCUAAUACCGCAUACGAUCUAUGGAUGAAAGCGGGGGACCGUAAGGCCUCGCGCGAUUGGAGCGGCCGAUGUCAGAUUAGGUAGUUGGUGGGGUAAAGGCUCACCAAGCCAACGAUCUGUAGCUGGUCUGAGAGGACGACCAGCCACACUGGGACUGAGACACGGCCCAGACUCCUACGGGAGGCAGCAGUGGGGAAUUUUGGACAAUGGGCGCAAGCCUGAUCCAGCAAUGCCGCGUGCAGGAAGAAGGCCUUCGGGUUGUAAACUGCUUUUGUACGGAACGAAACGGCUCUGGUUAAUACCUGGGGCUCAUGACGGUACCGUAAGAAUAAGCACCGGCUAACUACGUGCCAGCAGCCGCGGUAA
rnacentral:rRNA from 1 species